CCGAAAUGAAAAUAAUAAUCGAACUUUUUAUUCUUUUUUAAUAUGACAACUUUGGAUCCUUAGCAGACGACAGUAGAAACCAGAAACAUUUUAACUUUUUUUCAAAAGUUCCAACAAUUUUCAUGCAUGGUCUCAUGCACGUGCCUUACUUAGAUUGUUUUACCUUCACCUCUCAGGGUAUGGAGAGGUGGGCUCUCGAGACAUGGGCUCUCCAUGCCCAUGUCAUGAGUGAUGACACAGAAACAACUUCAUUGGUUGAUUCCAGCUGUUUCACUUCUCUGUUCCAGCUGCUUGAGAAAAUGAGGAUGCUCAGAUGGAAUGUAACAUUCUGUGCAGCGUUCUUUUAAUGUAAAGAUGGGUUUGCAGUGCUGUCUUUCAGUCCGUCAGGCGUAGCAAGGCCACCUCCCUUCAGACCAUCCUCAAUUAACAUUUGUUGACUGCUGCAUCAACACAGCUACUUAAUUAAAGGUUUGUGAAGAUCAGCUUCAUCUAAAAGUGAGAACUCUAAUUCUAUCGCAUCCCUAACCCUAAGUUGAGCUCCUGGUCCUGGUCUUCUAGCGUUUUCGCCAUGGCUCCUUAUUAAACUACGUGGUGCCAGUUGCUUAAAGGAGUCGUUUGCUUACAUUUCAAUCGCCCAAGAUGUCUGCCCAACAUUUACAGCUCAUCCAGCUUCUUACAAGCAGACUACUAUACACAUACUAAUCCUACACUUAACGCCCUGUACUAACUACUACACAUAGUACGAAAUUAGAUUUUGAGCAGAGGAAGCUGUCGGCUUUAUCGCCGCCAAAAAAUAAUCGAACUCUUGUUUCAGUAACAAUUUUCUAAAUGGCUUUGGCAGUUUGGGGACUGUCUGAACAACUGACUGCGGCUUGGGCGGUAAAAAAAGGCUAAAUUUCUGAACAACGUUUCGCAAAUGUGAAAUAUUUUCUUAGAGGUAAUGACUUUUUCUUUUAAUUCUUCGUUUUUUGAUGGUCGUUCACAUGCAGAGUUCUGACGUAGAUUUUAUCGGCCGUAGCUAUUAACGUAAUCUUGUGAAUUUUCUCGAACUAACCAACUAUCAUAAUUUAUUUUUAAAUAUUUUUAAAGAAUCAGUCUUAUGAGUUAAUGAUUUUCAUACAUUCCUGUCGUAGCAUUUAGAACUUUUCACUUAUCGGACUGCCCUCUGCAAUUCUGAAUGUGUCGUAGAUUCGAAUAAGCUCUCAAU